GUGUAUCUAUGUGUGGGAAGAGAGAACAGCAUUGUUACCGACAUACUUCGAUGCUAAUAAACAUUUGGGCCACACCUCCCAUUGUUCCUGCCCAUGAUGGCCCUUGGCAGGACUGGAUCUGCCUUUCUGUGGUCUGAAAAUAGCUCUGAAAAUGUCACGAUCUGGUGUUUUCCCCUCAGGUGGAGGCAGCCUGAUCUACAUAGGAGCCCAGAAGACUUAUUUCAAC
rnacentral:lncRNA from 1 species